AAAGGGGAAUUAACACUCCAUAAGAUCAUGGUCUGGCAUCAGAUAGUGAUUAAAACCACGGUGGUACAGGAUGAGCAUGCGCAUGAUUAGUUAGUUGGCGGGGUAACGGCCCACCAAGACGAUGAUCAUUAGGGGAACUGAGAGGUUGAUCCCCCACACUGGCACUGAGAUACGGGCCAGACUCCUACGGGAGGCAGCAGUAGGGAAUAUUGGACAAUGGGUGCGAGCCUGAUCCAGCCAUGCCGCGUGCAGGAAGACGGCCUUCUGGGUUGUAAACUGCUUUUGCCAGGGGAUAAAACGUUCCUGCGGGGAUAAUUGAAGGUACCUGGUGAAUAAGCCACGGCUAACUACGUGCCAGCAGCCGCGGUAAUACGUAGGUGGCAAGCGUUGUCCGGAUUUAUUGGGUUUAAAGGGUGCGUAGGUGGUUCCAUAAGUCAGUGGCGAAAUACGGCAGCUUAACUGUCGAGGUGCCAUUGAUACUGCGGGACUUGAGUACAGACGAGGUAG
rnacentral:rRNA from 1 species